rnacentral:rRNA from 2 species
GAUUUCUGACUUGUAACACCAGGUCCACUCUUUUGGGUGCGUAUUUGGUUGUUCGGGUCAUCCUUCUGAUGAGUACCACUGCCCUUCAUUGGGUGGGUGGUGCGCCAUCAGAUCUUUUACUUUGAAAAAAUUAGAGUGUUCAAAGCAGGCAUUUAGCUGUGAAUACAUUAGCAUGGAAUAAUAAGAUAGGACUUUGGUUUUAUUUUGUUGGUUUCUAGAACUAGAGUAAUGAUUGAUAGGGAUAGUUGGGGGUGCUAGUAUUCAACGGCCAGAGGUGAAAUUCUAUGAUUCGUUGAAGACUAACUUAUGCGAAAGCAUU